rnacentral:lncRNA from 1 species
ACAACUUUUAGGGUUCUGGACUCUGGAGACAGAGGGUGUGUUUAGGGUUUUAGAAAGUGAGCCACAGUUAGCUUCCAUCAUGCAAAUACAGAUUGACUUAUUUGAAAUUUAUUUAAGAUAAAUAUGAGAGCCUUUGGCGUAUAUAACUUCCUAAACCCUAUUACCUGCUUGGAUUAGGCGAUGUAGGUCAACAAUGUUUAAGGUUCCGCUCGGUAUUGAAACUUAAUCGACCUUUCGGGGAGAAAUUCCUCCUCCCUUUGAACUUUUACGUUCCUCUUCCAGCAAGAGCUUCCCACAUUCAUCUCGGAACAAAAGCAAUGUCUCCGGCCUUCACCUUGUUUCCGACAGUUGUGUCAUUAUCAUGACUUUUGCUGCUUGAACUACUAGGACCAAAAGGAGGGCACCCAUCUGUAUGGCAUGAUGCUGCAAACACAUGAUCAUGUUGUUUUUCAUCAUCCUCAAGGAUACUCUUCACUGCUACAGGACGACUGUUCUUUAGAUACAUUCCUUCAAUCUCAAAUUCAUCUUUUGCUAUGCAAGCUGGAUUAGAUCUCUCUAGCUGACAUUUUCCUCUCUUCCUUAAUUUCAAUCAUACUACUUUCGGAUUUGUGGUCGCGUCCUUUCUUCCAUGGACAAUUUGAUGAAGCCAUCAAGCCCAACACAACCACCUUUUUGAUUGUAAGUCGCGAGCUUUCAAAAUUUUGUUCAUGCAGAUGAUUGGAAUAAUGAGAUAUAUUAGAAGGCUUCUCCCUGAUUUUGCCUCUCAGUUUUAUGAUAAUUUGAUCAUAAAACUUUUGUGUUAAGCUGAGAAUGCCCAACUAAAGCAAGUAUUCAACUGUUUAGUAAUAUCUAAACUCUCUGUGCAGGGCUUCUGUCAUAGGGGCUUCAGCUGGUGAAGGGAUCUGUGGUACUUGUUAUGGACUUGUGUAUAUUUGGGAAUUAUCUUCAGGAACUAAGCUCGGCACCAUGCAUCAUUCUAAAGGCCAUUGUUCACCAUAAAGAAAAGUAGAUGCGAGAAACUGCUAGUAUUCAAAUCAUUUGACAGCAGCUUUCAUUCCCCAAGAGUUGAUUUACUUAUUGUAUCAGGUGGUGGUGUUUCAUGUACAUCUACUGAUGAUUCAAGGUCAGGUGCCGUGGCCAUAGCCGGGGACAAUCAAGCGCCGUUUUGUCUGCCCUCCAGAAAAUAUUCUGUAAUCUGACAUGCAAACAAGUUAUUUUCUCUCUUGCCUGUGAAAUUAUUUCUAGCUCUGAACUUUCUGCCCUGUUGGUUGUUGCCAGUGAGUAUUCUUAGCUAACAAGAUUUGAAUUUCUGACUAGAACUGUUACUGUAUGUAUCUGCC